CCCUGGUUAGCUUAGUUGGUAGAGCGCUCCACUUGUAAUGGAGAGGUCCCGGGUUCGAUACCCGGACCAGGUG
rnacentral:tRNA from 2 species